GGAAAUGAUCAUCUCCAUUUGUUAUCCCUCGAGUCCUGGAUCUGUUAUCUUCCCAAGUAAGAAGAAAACCAUAGGCAACCUCUAGUGUACUCGUGCAACGACGACUAUAGAGAAAGGGUAUAUUAUGAGUUCCAUAAAGUCUUAAGUAGUUAGUGACCUUAAACAUUCUUAUAAAUAAAGAUAAAUUCCCGUUUUUCUUACUUGCUCUUUCUUUUCCUUCCUUUCUUUCUUUCUUUCUUUUAACGUUUAUUUUUUCCAUUAUAGUUGAUUUACAGUGUUCUGCCAAUUUCUGCUGUACAGCAAAGUGAACCAGUUAUACAUAUGUAUGUGCUUUUUCUCACGUUAUCCUCAGCCCUGUUCCAUCACAAAUGAUUGGAUAUCAUUCCCUGUGCUAUACAGGAGCAUCUCAUUGCUUCUCCACUCCAAACGCAAUAGUUUGCAUCUGCUGUUAAAAUACCUCUCAUUAUGUUCCUCCUGCCCUUUCCUUAAAGAAAUCCUGGGCAUCCAUUUAGAAGUUUUUAGAAAUCAAUUGUGAAGUUACUUUUUUAUACUCACAGGUCCCACACCAUGGGUAUAUGACACUUCAUGAAUACAUUUUGAAGACAUUUUAGUGCAUUUAAAAUAAAUUAAUGUUAAUAUGUUUAAAAUAUGUCUUAUCAGGCAAGUGAUAUAUGUUCAGUGUUGAAAAAUGUAAAGAUUUAUUUAAGCAAAAGGAAGAGAAAAAAACCAUUCACAAUUCUACCUCCUAAAUAUAAUCAGUUUGCAUGUUUCCUCCCAGAUUUCUUUUUUUUCAUGUAUAGAUAUAUUGUAUACAAGAUGGAAUCUUGUCUAUACUGUCUUAUAAGUUGCUUUUUUUCACCUAGCACAAUUUUUCCCAAAUAUCUCUCCAUGACAGUAAAUCAUUACAUAGAUUUUUAGACAGAAGAUCAUCAGACCUCAGUCCUCGUGUUUUGCGACACCAGAAAAACCUCCGCUUAGCGCUAAGGCCAAGGACUUUGUCGGUCUGUAUACGAAACACACUCUGCCUUGGGGAGUUUUUAAGUACCUCGAGCGGGUUUCACCUGCACGGGGAGCGGUCUGCAUCUGGACCCCCACCUCUGCCCACUACUGCUGUCAUCCUGAGCCGCCCGCUGUUUAUCUGCAGGGGGUCUCAGUGUCAUCCUGGUGGUUCUGACGCAGAAAUACAGACAAGCUUUUCCUGCCUGGCAUCUCCUGAUAGCUGAACAUCAGGAGACACAACCCUGCCAACUGGCCUCUUAACACCAAGACCAUCUGCUGAUCAAACACUGCUGUUCAGCAUGCUGACACCCUCCCCAUCUUAUGGUUUCCAUGUCUACAGCUGGCUCUCCAUCCCUGCCUCCCCUGGGAGCCAAGAUCCCAGUGGUCAUUGAAACCCACAGCUAAGGACCAAGCUUCCUGAUAGCUUAAAUCUUCUUCGCCGUCCAUCUCAACUAGAGCUGUUCACAAAUGGCCUGAUGAGCUUCUCCUCCUUGUAUUUCUCGUGAUUAGCCUCUGAUUCAGAGCAAAUGUGCAGUGGGGUAACUGAAAUUUGGUCGCCAGAUGGACAAGCAAUCAGUCUGUCUUUAUGAUCAUGUGGCUUGAGUGUAUCAAUCGCUGAAACCUCCAGUGGCUUCACGGUGAACACUAAGCCAGGUGUUUUUUACCAGCAGAGGCACUUCCUAUUCCUUCAUGGUUCUUUAUCCAGGCAUUUUACCAGGAACAUGUAAAUUGCUUUUUGCUACCUAGGUUCUCCAAAAGCCCAUGACCGCUCUUCGAAUAAGUUCUUAUAAUUAAUAUUUUUUAAAACACCGUCUUCAUUUCCUGUAUCCAAAAUCUGCCAUCUUACCUCCACCUUCCUGCAGAAAAAAAGUGUAUGGAUGGACGGAUGGAUGGAUGGACACACACACACACACACACACACACACAUACACACACACACACAGAGUCUGUGUAUUUACGUGUAUGUAUAUGCAUACGUAAUACACACCAGUACACAUUUUAAAAAAAUGAGCCAGAGUCACCAUUCUCUAGUCACAACUAUUUUUAUUCUUUGACCUUCUCCACGAGGAACACUGAGCCUUGAAAUCACCAGGCACCCAGGGUACCCAGGCCCGCGUGGGCAGCUUCUUCACCUGUCUGGUCCUCUCACCCCGACUUCAAGCCUCCUUUCAGCACGGCCAUUCCUCUUCUCCCUCUUCUUUCAUUCUCGACAGUGCCCUGACCUUUUUGUCAUGGUAUUUUCUGCAAGCAUCACAUCAGUUAAAGUUUCCGGAAACAGUGCUACCUAUUGAAGAGGUUUUUAGUUCUUUUGUUUUUUGUCUUAGAAGAAGCCAUUCUGUGCUUCGACUUUCAUGGCACUCCUGCAGCUCGUUGGGUUGUACCUGCAAGAAAGGGUUACUGCCCUCUGCUUCCGUCAGAGAUGCUGAGAAGGGCUGUUUUGAUUUAGGCUCAGCGCAGCACUUAUUCUGAGCUUUCUCUCUGUCUUGCUGUAUAAGUGGCUUAUUCCUCCGCAGUGGUGGUGAUCCAGGCCCUGGGGGACCGCUCCAGCCUAUUCGAAUGAACUAUCAAUAACGUUAAAAGCCUUCCUAGACACAGCAUUUGCCAGCACUUACAGGCCAGUGCAAAUGGGAUGAGUGGCUUUUGGCUGUUUUCGGUUUCUCCUCAGUGUUUGUUAAACAGUCAAGGCAUUUAUCAGAAAUGGCCGUUGGACACACAUUCCAGUACGUGCUUUUCAUUGUAUUUUCACUGAAACUGUGGGACUCGAUUUCUUGUUGGAUCAUGUCCUUGGCCCCAGAAAGGAAUCCUGGAAGUGUUGAAAAGGAAUUCUGUGUGAAUUACCCCUAUUUAGCAGAAGACCAGUCAGAGCUGGCACAGCCUCCAGAGCUUUCAGCCAGGACUGAGUGUGAAGACUGUUGAUUAGGAGCAGGGAGAGGGGGCCAGGAUCUGCCCCCCGCCCCGUCCCCCUCUCCCACCCAGCAGAGCAUCGCAGGCCCACUGACCCAGCGAGGGGCCAAGCCAGCUGGACCCCAAGCUAGAAACUAAGAAACACAAUUCAGAACGAGCCAGGGACCUGGGGAAUGGCCUCGGCGGAUUUCAUUUGCAUCUCAGAUGGCCUUCUCCCUUGGCGUUUGUAUGAAAGGCAGGCAACGUGAAUCAUGGAUUCAUUCCCUUUCAUGCUUUUUCUUCUCGUCUUUCCUUUUGUGAGAGGGGGUGGAGGUGGGAGGCGUCUAGAGCUUGGAUCAAGUUCUUAGAGCUUAGAGGAAUCCAUAACGAAAAGUGUUUAGGAACUAUUUCAGUUUUUCUCCCCAGUUUAAAACACCCUUCCCUUUGCUGACUGUAGGGUUUAAUUCAGGUUAUCCUGGAAGGGAAGAAGGUGUUUUAAACUCCCAAGUUCAGUUACUGGGGCUUGGGGAGGGGGGAGCCCUUUAAACCCAAACCUUUAUCUUUCUGGUCACCCACUGAGUCCCGCAAAUGAGAGAGUCAGAGGGAGGCUGCUCUGAUGAGGCUUAAUGGUGUGGGGCAACUCCAUCCACUGUCAGCAUGGUCUGAAGGCUGUGGGAGGAUGCCGGACCACGGAGGAAAAUUGGGCAAAGUGGCUGCCUAUCCAGCUCUGUGAACAAACCUUUAUUAUUUUGGCUCAAGCAGACAUAUGUGCCCACAACUUUGACGAUAGCCCCAAACAGCUAAAGGUCCAAAUACAGCUUCGGAAUUCUAAAUUCUAACAUACACCUUGCUAACAGUAACCUAAAUGUAUAUGAUCUUUUGGAUCAUCAGUGUCGUAAGAAUUUAUUAUAUUCAUUUUGUUUUCCACUUGGAAUGUAAUUUCCUCAAGAGUGUUGGUCUUGGUCAAUAUGGAAAGAAUGGAUCCUUGAAUGACGUAUGUACAUUCAGCAGAGUCUCCUUUUUAAGAAUGACUUACCUGAAGUAAUAUCAAUCAGAGUGAAGCCAAGUUAUAAACAAUUAGGUGGGUUUUUUUUGUUUUGUUUUGUUUUUUUUGGGGGGGCUUUUAGGGCCGCACUUGCAGCAUAUGGAGGUUCCCAGGCUAGGGGUCCAAUCAGAGCUGUAGCUGCCGGCCUACACCACAGCCACAGCAACGCCAGAUCCAAGGCACGUCUGCGACCUACACCACAGCUCACGGCAACGCCAGAUCCUUAACCCACUGAGUGAGGCCAGGGAUGGAACCUGUGUCCUCAUGGAUGCUAGUUGGGUUUGUUAAUCGCUGAGCCACGAGGGGAACUCCUACAAUGAGGUUUUGAGAAUUUAAGGAUUGUCCUUUACUAUAUCACACACUGGGCUGACUUGACUAAAUAUACAUUUAAGAAAAAGAGAUAAAGAUAUGCAAUUUUUAUUUUUAAAAGUUUUCUAUUUUUUAAAGUUGUUAUGAUUAUCUUCAUAUCAACAUUAUUACCUGUUGUAGAAAAGGCUCAACCUUAUUUUAAAGGGGAGUGUCUAAGUAAUUUUUAUUUUGCACUGUCUGAUUGGCUCCAUUCCCUUCUGCUAAUCUUUUGAGUUAUCGUGAGUUCUGUCUGUAAACUGAAAAUAAAGUUUCUGGAUUUUUGUGAAUGGAUUUACUUAUGUGCAAAACUUUGCAAAGUGGUUUCUCUCUUUUUUUUUUUUUUUUUUGAACACCCAUUAAAUAAGAGGAUAUACUUUACUGAAAGGAGAUCUUCAUUGAGAAUUCACCAACCAAAGCAGAUGAAAGUGAUGCCUGCCUGAAGUUAAUCUGAUUAUCCCAAAUUGAUCCUAAACCGUUGCUGCCUAAGUGCCCAGUUGAUCCCUCUGUUUACAAACCGGGCACUGCCUUUGACCUCAGCAGUAGCUGUUUGGAGGGCGGGUGCAAAGUCGGUCACUUACCACUUCACAAACACAACGAAGCCUCGUGUAUCUCAGGGAUGUACUCCAAAUAUGUUAGUUUUUCAGAGAACUUGAGCUCACUUUUGGGUGACUCUUUCUAAAGACACUGUGUCUUCUGAAACAGAGCUGAAGUUAACGUUCCCUUUUCUGGAGGGCUUGAGCCUUCAGUGGGAACAUGGGAAGGUACCUGCUGGGGCUGGACAAGUGUACAUGUGGGGUCCCUUGUCCAUUAGGCUAAGUUACCCCAGGUGUCUUUGCUUUCUGACUUAUUCAGGCUAAUUUUUCCCCGGGCCUUUUCCCUCCACAGGUCAUUGUGACUACUAGACCUAGUGGAGUAUUUAACAUAUAUCCAUUUCCUACGGUUACCUGAACGGCUCCACCCCAUUUUUUUAUGCUAUAAAGAGCACUUUAAAAGUUCUGUUCUUUUAAAAAAUAGUAAGAGAGUUAGGAUUGACUACAUUUAAUUGAGUCACGACACUUCUGGGUUUUAAUUAUUCUAAAAAUGGGUUUGGGUAAAAGAAUAGCUUCUAGUUCGUUGUUAUGCCAUUGGUAAAAUUCUAAAAGAUACCUUACAAGUUUUAAUUUUUGAGCUCUUUAGAAACUGUAAGUGCAAAGCUCCUUAUCCAGCUUCAGGUGAAGUCAGUCUGAUUGUAACUUGACCAAAAAUGUGGGUUUAAUUUAUGUUGUAUAUGUGAAGUGCAAAUCGCAUGAGUAAUAAACUAAUGCAAAUAAUAAAGACCUAAGGGGAAAUUAAAUGGGAGUUUUGAAGAGCUCACAUCAUGCACAGUAUGUGUAACUGUAACUUUUUAGGAAGUGCAGAAAGAUUUAAAUAUAUUUUGAGUUGUGUUUCUUUCAGAUUUAAGUUAUUGGCCACACACUAAAUGGCUUGAUGACUUGAUUUCUAUGUAUAUAUACCUACAAACUAACCUUUUCUAGUACAUGCUUCACAAUCAAGAAAAUUUUUAUUGAUUUUCAAUUAAUUCUUUCAUGGAAUGCAGACAAUAUCUCCAUAUUUCAUUACACCUCUUCCAAUAUGUAUCUAUUUCACAGUGCUUUUUUUUAGCAUUGCAGGUCGAUACAUUUAGACUGUAGAUGCAAACAUUUAUGGUUUGCUUGCUGGAAACUUCUAUAGGGUUGUGAUGGCAGGGGCUAUAAGUAGCAUAAUUAGAUACUGUGUAUUAGAUGGAAACAUAGUUCAGUUAUAUAGAAAAGUCUCCUUCACAGCAGCUUCUCCUUAAAGCAGCACUUUUUUCCCCUUUUCAGUUCCAGACUAGAGUUGCUCACAGCCUUUUUUUCUUCACACAUGCCAGUCACCUGGAGAUGCGGCAGUUGAUCAACAAAACUGCUCUGCAGGUGUUUACCAGAUAGUUUCCCUAAACCAUCCUGGACCGGAAGUACUCAGUUGCUUUUCUCCACUAAUGAAGUUCACAGGCUAUUUAUACAUUGUCCCUUACAUCUUAGGUUUGAAAAUCAGGGCCUCAUCCCGACGCCAUUUAGCUGGUCCAGGUGGGAGCCUGAGUGAGCUGGGAAAGCUCCUUGGAUGAAGCGAAAAAUCAGUAGGUCAGAGCAAGGACGUGAGUGAUGUGACUCCUCCAGCAUUGUUAUUAUCCGUCAGGGAACCUAAGUUCACUCUAUCUGCUGCACGGAUGGGGGUGAUAAUGUCAUCACAUUUGACUUUGGAUUAUAACGUCGUAAUGAGAUCGGCAGUGAGGGGAGAGGAAUCUCAGAGAAUGACUCUGGAGUGUGUGUAUGUGUAAGUAGCAUCCUAAUGAUUCUGGAAAUUACCUCAGGAAGAUGUAAUCAGCUAGACCAUACUGCUUAUCAACAUCAGGCCAUGUUCCUGCAUUUCUAAUUUGAUUACCUGCAAGCUAGUAUCAUGCAACUAAAAGAUACCUUGUAUUUUAUGUCUUGAUAGGGAAAAAAAAAA
ensembl:lncRNA